rnacentral:rRNA from 1 species
UACAGAGGUCCCGAGCGUUGUUCGGAUUCACUGGGCGUAAAGGGUGCGUAGGUGGCGAGGUAAGUCGGAUGUGAAAGCUCGGAGCUCAACUCCGAAAUGGCAUUGGAAACUACCUUGCUCGAGGGUUGGAGGGGGGACUGGAAUGCUUGGUGUAGCAGUGAAAUGCGUAGAUAUCAAGCGGAACACCAGUGGCGAAGGCGAGUCCCUGGGCAACUCCUGACACUGAGGCACGAAAGCUAGGGGAGCAAACAGG